rnacentral:rRNA from 1 species
AUUGAACGCUGGCGGCAGGCCUAACACAUGCCAGUCGAGCGGAUGAAGGGAGCUUGCUCCUGGAUUCAGCGGCGGACGGGUGAGUAAUGCCUAGGAAUCUGCCUGGUAGUGGGGGAUAACGUCCGGAAACGGGCGCUAAUACCGCAUACGUCCUGAGGGAGAAAGUGGGGGAUCUUCGGACCUCACGCUAUCAGAUGAGCCUAGGUCGGAUUAGCUAGUUGGUGGGGUAAAGGCCUACCAAGGCGACGAUCCGUAACUGGUCUGAGAGGAUGAUCAGUCACACUGGAACUGAGACACGGUCCAGACUCCUACGGGAGGCAGCAGUGGGGAAUAUUGGACAAUGGGCGAAAGCCUGAUCCAGCCAUGCCGCGUGGGUGAAGAAGGUCUUCGGAUUGUAAAGCACUUUAAGUUGGGAGGAAGGGCAGUAAGUUAAUACCUUGCUGUUUUGACGUUACCAACAGAAUAAGCACCGGCUAACUUCGU